UUUGGGUUGUGUUUUAUAGGAAGUUGAUUCUGCUUAAUUCUAGUAAAUAUUUGUAAUAAUAAGACGUGUGGGCAGGUGAGAGCCGAUAGAUUCAAACUGUGAUUCGGCAGGAGUGAUAGUUUUUUCUCAUAUAGGAGACUUAUAAGCAUGGUUGAUAAGAAAAUAAUCCUGGUCUACAAGCGGCCUGAAGAGCAGAACCUACAGUCGACGACGUUCUUCAUCUACAUUCAGGUCCCGAUCGCAAUCUCGACGUCGCACAACGUGUGACUUAAAACCCAACAGCAGUGAUGGGCUCUGGCUACAUCUGGAAUUGAUUACGACAAUUAAAGUUUGGUCCUCAAUGGAUAAAGAUAUGACUCGUUUCGAUCGGGAGGCAGCCACCAAUCUCAUAGAACGCAACGCAGUGAUGCUGGAAGAAGCCAAGGACACCAUUACGGCGCCGGCCUCGUUUAUGAUACAAAUGCUGGCGUGUAUUCAUUAGCUACGGAAUCGCCGCAGUGCGACCCAAGCCGCUGCGGCAGGCAAUGAUAGUGAAAGUGAUAAUGCCUCACGGGAGGACAACAAUAAUAAUGACGAUAUGACGGCGGCGACCUAUCCCAGAACCGACUCGUCGUCCGACGGUAGAUCGCCGAAACACUAUCUUCAGCUUUAGGUUAAGAACGGGAAAUGUGUUAUUACACACGCUUGAGGAGCCUCUAAUUUUUAAAACUGCCUCGCCCUCGCAAUUCCGCACGGGAAAGUGAAAUCUAAACUGAUUCGCUUAUAUAAUGGUUUGUGUAUUAACAUCCCAGGCGACAGCGUAGGCAAGAAUGAUGUGAUUUUGUUGUAUAAAUAUUUAUAUAAAUAAAAACCAAUAAUAA